rnacentral:rRNA from 1 species
UCCAGACUCCUACGGGAGGCAGCAGUGGGGAAUAUUGCGCAAUGGGCGAAAGCCUGGCGCAGCGACGCCGCGUGAGGGAUGGAGGUCUUCGGAUCGUAAACCUCUGUCAGCAGGGAAGAACGGUCACUGUGCUAAUCAGCAGUGAAUUGACGGUACCUGCAAAGGAAGCACCGGCUAACUCCGUGCCAGCAGCCGCGGUAAUACGGAGGGUGCGAGCGUUAUCCGGAUUUAUUGGGUUUAAAGGGUGCGUAGGCGGAUUUUUAAGUCAGCGGUAAAAUGUCCGGGCUCAACCCGGGCCGGCCGUUGAAACUGGGGAUCUUGAGUGGGCGAGAAGUAUGCGGAAUGCGUGGUGUAGCGGUGAAAUGCAUAGAUAUCACGCAGAACUCCGAUUGCGAAGGCAGCAUACCGGCGCCCGACUGACGCUGAAGCACGAAAGCGUGGGUAUCGAACAGGAUUAGAUACCCUUGUAUG